AGAUUGAACGCUAGCGGGAUGCUUUACACAUGCAAGUCGAACGGCAGCGCGGACUUCGGUCUGGCGGCGAGUGGCGAACGGGUGAGUAAUAUAUCGGAACGUGCCCAGUAGCGGGGGAUAACUACGCGAAAGCGUGGCUAAUACCGCAUACGCCCUACGGGGGAAAGGGGGGGAUCUUCGGAACCUCUCACUAUUGGAGCGGCCGAUAUCAGAUUAGCUAGUUGGUGAGGUAAAGGCUCACCAAGGCGACGAUCUGUAGCUGGUUUGAGAGGACGACCAGCCACACUGGGACUGAGACACGGCCCAGACUCCUACGGGAGGCAGCAGUGGGAAUUUGGACAAUGGGGGAACCCUG
rnacentral:rRNA from 1 species